UGGGGAAUUUUGGACAAUGGGCGCAGGCCUGAUCCAGCAAUGCCGCGUGCAGGAUGAAGGCCUUCGGGUUGUAAACUGCUUUUGUACGGAGCGAAAAGGUCUGCCCUAAUACGGUGGGCUCAUGACGGUACCGUAAGAAUAAGCACCGGCUAACUACGUGCCAGCAGCCGCGGUAAUACGUAGGGUGCGAGCGUUAAUCGGAAUUACUGGGCGUAAAGCGUGCGCAGGCGGUUAUAUAAGACAGAUGUGAAAUCCCCGGGCUCAACCUGGGACCUGCAUUUGUGACUGUAUAGCUAGAGUACGGUAGAGGGGGAUGGAAUUCCGCGUGUAGCAGUGAAAUGCGUAGAUAUGCGGAGGAACACCGAUGGCGAAGGCAGGUGGCUACGUUUGAUUUGACACUGAGGCACGAAAGCAUGGGGAGCAAACA
rnacentral:rRNA from 1 species